rnacentral:rRNA from 1 species
AGAGUUUGAUCAUGGCUCAGGAUGAACGCUAGCCCUACAGGCUUAACACAUGCAAGUCGAGGGGCAGCAUGGUCUUAGCUUGCUAAGGCCGAUGGCGACCGGCGCACGGGUGAGUAACGCGUAUCCAACCUGCCUUACACUCUUGGACAGCCUUCUGAAAGGGAGGUUAAUACAAGAUGUUAUCAUGAGUAAGCAUUUUCGCAUGAUUAAAGGUUUACCGGUGUAAGAUGGGGAUGCGUUCCAUUAGAUAGUAGGCGGGGUAACGGCCCACCUAGUCUUCGAUGGAUAGGGGUUCUGAGAGGAAGGUCCCCCACAUUGGAACUGAGACACGGUCCAAACUCCUACGGGAGGCAGCA